AUUGAACGCUGGCGGCAUGCCUUACACAUGCAAGUCGAACGGCAGCACGGGAGCAAUCCUGGUGGCGAGUGGCGAACGGGUGAGUAAUAUAUCGGAACGUGCCCAGUCGUGGGGAUAACGUAGCGAAAGCUACGCUAAUACCGCAUACGAUCUAUGGAUGAAAGCGGGGGAUCGCAAGACCUCGCGCGAUUGGAGCGGCCGAUAUCAGAUUAGGUAGUUGGUGAGGUAAAGGCUCACCAAGCCGACGAUCUGUAGCUGGUCUGAGAGGACGACCAGCCACACUGGGACUGAGACACGGCCCAGACUCCUACGGGAGGCAGCAGUGGGGAAUUUUUGGACAAUGGGCGCAAGCCUGAUCCAGCAAUGCCGCGUGCAGGAUGAAGGCCUCGGUU
rnacentral:rRNA from 1 species